rnacentral:rRNA from 1 species
UACGGAGGGUGCAAGCGUUGCUCGGAAUCACUGGGCGUAAAGGGCGUGUAGGCGGUCUCGUAUGUCUGACGUGAAAGCCCCGGGCUCAACCCGGGAAGUGCGUUGGAAACUGCGAGACUAGAGUCUCGGAGAGGAAGGUGGAAUUCCAGGUGUAGCGGUGAAAUGCGUAGAUAUCUGGAAGAACACCGGUGGCGAAGGCGGCCUUCUGGACGAUGACUAACGCUGAGACGCGAAAGCGUGGGGAGCAAACAGG